GUUCAAGGAUGAAAGUUGAGGAGACUACUGGCAACCUAUGGCCACAGUUUAGUUGACAUUUCUUAGUUUCAAGUCUGAUACAUUCUAAAUAUCAGAUGCUUAUACAAGUAGGUCAAGAUUCUUAUGAUAAAAUAUUAAAUAAAUCUAGAAAACAAAUUUUAAAAGCAUUACCAAAUGAAAACUCCAUUAUUAAAUUGCAUGGCACAUCAAUCUAUAAUUAUUUAUAGGAAAAUGCAGACCCCCAUGGGCACUCAUUAGGGAGAACAGCUUCCACUCAUCUUCCUCCCCCUACCCCCAACCACCCCUCUUAGUACUCGAGUCCAUGAAU